GACGAACGCUGGCGGCGUGCUUAACACAUGCAAGUCGAACGGAAAGGCCCUGCUUUUGUGGGGUGCUCGAGUGGCGAACGGGUGAGUAACACGUGAGUAACCUGCCCUUGACUUUGGGAUAACUUCAGGAAGCUGGGGCUAAUACCGGAUAGGAGCUCCUGCUGCAUGGUGGGGGUUGGUAAGUUUCGGCGGUUGGGGAUGGACUCGCGGCUUAUCAGCUUGUUGGUGGGGUAGUGGCUUACCAAGGCUUUGACGGGUAGCCGGCCUGAGAGGGUGACCGGCCACAUUGGGACUGAGAUACGGCCCAGACUCCUACGGGAGGCAGCAGUGGGGAAUAUUGCACAAUGGGCGGAAGCCUGAUGCAGCAACGCCGCGUGCGGGAUGACGGCCUUCGGGUUGUAAACCGCUUUCGCCUGUGACGAAGCGUGAGUGACGGUAAUGGGUAAAGAAGCACCGGCUAACUACGUG
rnacentral:rRNA from 1 species